GAGGUUACUGCAGUCCUCUUGCUGCUCCCUGCUGAUGUGACAUGAWGCUUUUCCAUGAUCCUGCUUGGGAUUGCCCUGGGGGAAAAAGUCGUAUGCAGGGACCUGCUGAGAUUUUCUGACCGGGACAUGUGGUGGAGUCCAGUUCCUGCCAAGCUGCCUUGGACAGGRGUCACUUAAGCUGCUCUUUUGAAGAUAUGCAGACCUUGGAGUUUUAAAAUUCAGAUGGAUGACAGACACCUAGAAUGCUGUUAGAUGUGAAACUGUUAGAACUAGUAUUAACUCCUGACAGUGCAGGUCUUCAUCUAAUUGGGUCAUCUAGACCCUUCACAGUCAGUGUGGGAGACAGGAAUUAGUGGUGAUUUCUCUGCACUGCAUUAGAUGCCAAUCUCAGGAAGAAAUGACAAAUAUCCCACGGAGACAGCUUGAGCAGCUAGCUCAGAAGUGCACAUCUGCAUUGUAUGAACCUGGAUUUGGCCAGUGAAGCUCCUGAAGAGGAUGCUCACAAAGCAGUAUCUGAAAUAAGCAUGCUGACCACUGAAGAGCCUCCUCUGCAGUGGCUCACCCAGAGUGAAUGGAGGUCCAAGGCUGGUUCUUUCCCCAUGCAGGAGCUAUGUCUGCAAAACAGAGUAUCCUGCAGGGGAGAGGCACUAGCAGUGGGACCUUCAGUUGCUUCAGUUGCAAAGUACAAAGCAACAAGGAAACAGGAGGUGCCAAAACAAAGUGAUUUGCAGUGAUAUGAGCUUCCUCUCCGAUGGUCUUUGACACCUCCUGAGUGCAGAGAAGCCGUGACCGAGAUCUCGCUCUGCAGUCGAGCAACCUUUGAGCAGGGCUGGGUUUUAUAAUGGCAAACAGGYCUCCCUUGGAGUGCCUGUCCCAGAUAGCAACCCAAUGCUUUUCCCCUGAGAACUGCUAACACCAUACAGCUUAACAACUAGAAAUAACUUCCAUCAGG